rnacentral:rRNA from 1 species
GCGGGUAGAGUGUGUUGACGGGGAAUCGAAUUCCCGCGGCCGCCAUGGCGGCCGGGAGCAUGCGACGUCGGGCCCAAUUCGCCCUAUAGUGAGUCGGAUUAAUGGGUCUAAUACCGGAUAUGACCUCGGAAUGCAUGUUCUGGGGUGGAAAGAUUUAUCGGUGCGAGAUGGGCCCGCGGCCUAUCAGCUUGUUGGUGAGGUAACGGCUCACCAAGGCGACGACGGGUAGCCGACCUGAGAGGGUGACCGGCCACACUGGGACUGAGACACGGCCCAGACUCCUACGGGAGGCAGCAGUGGGGAAUAUUGCACAAUGGGCGCAAGCCUGAUGCAGCGACGCCGCGUGCGGGAUGACGGCCUUCGGGUUGUAAACCGCUUUUGACAGGGACGAAGCGCAAGUGACUGUACCUGUAGAAUAAGGACCGGCCAACUACGUGCCAGCAGCCGCGGUAAUACGUAGGGUCCGAGCGUUGUCCGGAAUUACUGGGCGUAAAGAGCUUGUAGGCGGUUCGUCGCGUCGUUUGUGAAAACUUGGGGCUCAACCUUAAGCUUGCAGGCGAUACGGGCGGACUAGAGUACUUCAGGGGAGACUGGAAUUCCUGGUGUAGCGGUGAAAUGCGCAGAUAUCAGGAGGAACACCGGUGGCGAAGGCGGGUCUCUGGGAAGUAACUGACGCUGAGAAGCGAAAGCAUGGGUAGCAAACAGGAUUAGAUACCCUGGUAGUCCAUGCCGUAAACGGUGGGUACUAGGUGUGGGGCUCCUUCCACGGACUCCGUGCCGUAGCUAACGCAUUAAGUACCCCGCCUGGGGAGUACGGCCGCAGGGCUAAAACUCAAAUGAAUUGACGGGG